UAUAACAUUAUAAAUAUUAGAAAAUAUCCAUUAAAUACAUCAAUGUGUUGUUUUUGCCUCUUCCAUUAAAUAUCAAUUAUGCUUAUUUCAUCUCACCAUGAGCUAAACCCCUCCUUGUGGUUUAGACAUGGUGAGGUUAUGACGUUUAUUUAUUUCUUUCUAACAAACUGCUUUAACUCAAAAUCAUUAGAAGUAAAAUUUGAUCACUUUUAUUUCCAAUGUUAUAGCUCCUUGAUCAUUAUUUCUAAGCAAUAAGUUCUUGAUAGGAUUCCUGUCAUAAGCCAAGGAGCUCAGCUCCUGAAUACUCUUCAUGAGAAAAGGGUGAGCACCUAACCUAGCAACUAUUGGGUGUUAAGUUAUACGUAACCGUACCACGAAAGGUGUGUGUCAUUACUCGUUAUGGCCUUAACACGAUGGGUGCGUUCGUGAAUGCUCAUGGCACAAUUCUCAUCAUAGUUACACCUAGAUACUAAAAUAGAAAGGACAUUCAGGAAAAGAAGGUAGUUGUUCAAGUCAAAGACGAAUUCCAAUCUAGAGGAGCUAGAUCAGAACUUCAUACAGAGCUAUAACUCCAACAAGUCUAGCUCAGAGAGAGAUUCAUUUGUCAACAUGGGUGACAACAACAACACCUUAGACAUUGUAAAUGACAAAUGGAGGUCCAUAAGAGAAUAUGCAGUGUUUGAUCUACCAUCACUCCACACUAGCAUAGUGAAGUCAGAAGUCACUACUGUUCAGUUUGAGUUCAAGCUUAUCAUGUUCCAGAUUCUGCAGACCAUUGGGCAAUCUUCGGGAGUAGACAUAUAUGAUUAUUACCUACACCUGAAUCAAUUCACUGAAGUAGUAGAAAAUUUCAAGAUCGCAUGUAAAGAAGAUGAUGGUUUCAAGUUGAGGUUGUUCCCUUACUCUUUAACAUGAAGAGCAAAACCAUGGUUAAACAAUCUUGAAGCCAACUCUGUCAUGGAGAGAAGUUGUUGAUAAGUUCUUGGUCAAAUAUCUUCCUCCUGUCUUUAAUGCUCGAAAAAGGAAUGACAUAAUAACCUCUUUGAGGAAAACAAAUGAAGAAACACUCUUUGAAGAAUGUGAAAGGUUUAAAUAUAUGUUGAGAAGGUGUCCUCAUCAUGGGAUACAUGUGUUAAUUCAAAUGGAAACCUUCUACAAUGGGCUAGUUCCAUCAACAAUGUUUAUGCCAUGUUGUGUUUUUACCUAUGUGUUGGCUUCAUUUUGUUAAAACAAGAAGUUCUAGCAAGAUGUUGUACCAGAUUCCUUGGCCAUGUAUGUACGACAUCUUAGCUUAAGGUGAAGUUCUUUGUUUCUCUUUCUUAGCAGAUUUUAUUUUUGCGUGAAAUAAUAUAAGAUUUGUUUGAAGGUGAUGUUGCACCGAACUGGGUUACCAAAUCUCUUAUGUCCUUCUUUACAACACUUUAUUUAUGUGUAUUGCUUAUUGUGCUAUAUUUCAUACCUAGUGUCUAGGGCAACAUCAUUGUCGAACCUGUUGUUCAGGACAUCAGGUAUGGUGGGAAAGAAAAUAUGAUAUGCCUGAAUUAGUGUUCACUGAUAUAUAUUUAUAUAUCCAAAUAAAGAGAGAAGAAGACAAUAUAAACAAUAUUUGUUGCUGUCUUAUUUAAGUUCAUUAUCAUUGCUGUAGAAUUCAAAUAUAAAACUAAAAAGUUCUUGAUAGUAUAAAAAAAAAAAUUAUUGGGUUGUGAGAAAAUAACUAAAUGACAGCCCGUGGAAUAUUGUAGUAGAUCAUUUGUGUAUUAUCUUGGGUCUGGCAAUAAAUGAAGAAUCAUGUGAGCACAUGAUCUAAUCGCCACUUCAUCGGAUAACAUCUACACACUUUAUACACAAACUGUAGUGUCGUACCAGGGGGGCAAAUAUCACGAGUGUCAGUAACACUUAGAUUACACGCUGUAUUAAAAAAAAAAAGAAUGAAAAGUGUAAUUAAAAUGUGAUAAUAUGUUGUGUACGAAGUAGAGAAGAAAAUUUUAAAUGGUUAGAAAUGGCUUACGUUGAGAAUUCUCUGCAACCAGAAAUGAGGAUAGAAAGAUAAUCACACUACAAACAACAAUGACAAAUUUAGCCAUGUAUCCUUCCUUUAUUUGUAAUAUAUGUAUUUAUCACUUUAUAAUUUAUAGAGCUCAGUUUCUUCUUAACAUUCUAGAUAUUUAUAAAUAUCCAUUAAUUACAUCAAUGUGUUGUGUGUGUUUCUUCAUCAUACUAAAGAAAGAGGUCACACAACAUGCUGUUCGGCCAAUUUGUCCCUUGAUUUUGUCUUUUUAUUUUUUAUUUAUUUUUAUUUUCUAAUUAAACGCAUGGAAUUUACUUGUAUUUUAAUUAGAAAAUUACACAGCUGGUAGAUUUUAAAUGUUAUGUGGCUUGACACGUAGGAUUGAUCAAAUCAAAAUCGAGGAUUUGCAAAAAGGGCUAAACAUGAGGGGUGUCUUUGGCCAUUUUUUUUAUUACAUGUCCAAAAUCGCUACACUUUGAUACUUAGGGGGUCAAAAGUGCAACUAAGUCUAAAAAAUAUCCAUUAAGUACAUCAAUGUGUUGUGUUUGUCUUUUCAUCAUACCAAAAAAUAACCAUUAAGUACAUCAAUGUGUUGUGUUUGUCUUGUCAUCAUACCAAAAAAUGAGGUCACAAAAAAAAUCUUCUUAAUAUUAUAUUUAUUACAAACUCUUCUAUCUAUUUAUAAUAUAUUAACUUAUUAAUAUAUUAUUUAUCACUUUAUUAUUUACAAAGCUUGUGUUCUUCUUAACAUUAUAAAUAUUAAAAAUUAUACGUUAAAUACAUCAAUGUGUUGUGUUUGUCUCUUCCAUUAAAUAUCAACUAUGCUUAUUUUCAGCUCACCAUGACCUAAACCAUUCCUGGUGGUUUAGACAUGGUGAGGUUAUGAUGUUUAUUUACUUCUUUCUAACAAACUGCUUUAACUCAAAAUCUUUUGAAGUAAAAUUUGAUCACUUUUAUUUUCAAUGCUAUAGCUCCCUGAUCGUUUCCAAGCGCUAAGUUAUUGGUAGGACUCUUAUCAUAGGCCAAUGAGCUCAGGUCUUGAAUAAUCUUCGUGAGGAAAGGAUAAGCACCUAACCUAGCAACUAUUAGGUGUUAAGUUCCGCGUAAUCGUAGCACGAAAGGUUUGUCGUUACGGCCUUAACAUGAUGGAUGAUCUAACACUCCCUAAGACUGUGUUUACCAUGAAUCAGGAGUGAGAUAUAGCUCUAUGAAUCUCAGCAACCUAAGAAUCUAAUAAACAACUAUAGCUCUGAGAUACACAUGAGCCUUGCCAAGCUAUAAUUUUGUAAAUCACAGUAAUGUUUUGUUAUAAUUGAAUCUAGCUUAAACCAGUCUUUCCACCUUAAAAUACUCAUAGUGUAUUGGGAGACACCAAGUUUUUGGCGCUGUUGUCGGAGACUGCAAGAUGUUAUAGUUCUUAUUAGUUUAUCAUUAGGGCACAAUUCUCACCAUAGUUACACCUAUAUACUAAAAUAGAAAGGACGUUCAGAAAAAGAAGGUUGUUGUUCAAUUCAAAGAUGAAUUCCAAUCUAGAGGAGCCAGAUCCAAACUUCAUACAGAGCUACAACUCCAACAAGUCUAGCUCAUAGGGAGAUUCAUUUGUCAACAUGGGUGACAACAAUAACACCUUAGGCAUGGAAAAUGACAAGGGGAGGUCCAUCAGAGAAUAUGUAGUGUUUGAUCUAACAUCACUCCACACUAGCAUAGUGAAGUCAGAAGUCACUACUGCUCAGUUUGAGUUCAAGCCUAUCAUGUUCCAGAUGUUGCGGACCAUUGGCCAAUUUUCGGGAGUAGUCAUAUAUGAUCCUUAUCUACACCUGAAUCAAUUCACUGAAGUAGCCGAAAAUUUCAAGAUCCCAUGUAUAGAAGAUGAUAGUUUCAAGUUGAGGUUGUUCCCUUACUUUAUAACAUGAAUUGUAACACCCCAAUUUUUAAAAUUAGUUUAUUAAAUAAUAUAAUAUUAUUAUUUUUAGUAGUA